CCUACGGGUGGCAGCAGUAGGGAAUAUUGCUCAAUGGGGGAAACCCUGAUGCAGCAACGCCGCGUGGAGGAUGAAGGUUUUAGGAUUGUAAACUCCUUUUGUUAGAGAAGAUAGUGACGGUAUCUACCGAAUAAGCACCGGCUAACUCCUUGCCAGCAGCCGCGGUAAUACGGAGGGUGCAGCAUUUACUCGGAAUCACUGGGCGAAAAGAGCGCGUAGUCGGGAUAGCAGGUCAGAUGUGAAAGCCUAUGGAUAAACCAUAGAACUGCAUUUGAAACUGUUAUUCUAGAGUAUGGGAGAGGUAGGUGGAAUUCUUGGUGUAGGGGUAAAAUCCGUAGAGAU
rnacentral:rRNA from 1 species